CGGGGUGCAGCAGGCGCGAAACCUUAGCAAUGUGCGAAAGCACGACUAGGUUAAUCCGAGUGAUUUCUGCUGAAGAAAUCUUUUGUCAGUUUUAAAAGUACAGACGAAUAAGGGGUGGGCAAGUCUGGUGUCAGCCGCCGCGGUAAUACCAGCACCUCGAGUGGUCAGGAGGUUUAUUGGGCCUAAAGCAUCCGUAGCCGGCUAUGCAAGUCUCCGGUUAAAUCCAACUGCCUAACAGGUGGGCUGCCGGAGAUACUACACAGCUAGGGAGCGGGAGAGGUAGACGGUAUUCGGUGGGUAGGGGUAAAAUCCUCUGAUCCAUUGAGGACCACCAGUGGCGAAGGCGGUCUACCAGAACGCGUUCGACGGUGAGGGAUGAAAGCUGGGGGAGCAAACCGGAUUAGAUACCCGGGUAGUCCCAGCUGUAAACGAUGCAAACUCGGUGAUGCAUUGGCUUAUGGCCAAUGCAGUGCCGCAGGGAAGCCGUUAAGUUUGCCGCCUGGGAAGUACGGACGCAAGUCUGAAACUUAAAGGAAUUGGCGGGGGAGCAC
rnacentral:rRNA from 1 species